CUGGAAAUGAGGUGGUACAGAUGUCCAGAAUGUUCGACGUUAUACACGACGUCCACAUACAGCUGGGACACGCUGGACGAAACAAGAUGCUCGCGGAGUGUCAGCGUCGUUACUAUAAUGUGCAUCGAGUGGCUAUCGAGAUAUACUUGCAAACGUGUAAAAGCUGCGAGCUCAAGAGAGCACUGCCAAGGGACAAGACGGUCACGCGGCCAAUUCUGACUGAUGACGUUUCAAGACGAGCGCAGAUAGACCUCAUAGACUGGACUAGUGAACGAUCAGCUGGAUUUGGGUACAUCUUAAACUUCCAAGAUCACUUGUCAAAUUUUGUGAUUUUACGCCCACUGAAGAAGAAGACGGCUCAAGAGGUUGCAUACCAUCUCCUGGACAUUUUUUGUCUGAUCGGUGCACCGAACAUUAUACAAUCUGAUAACGGUGCAGAGUUCCGGAACGCCUUGCUGGACGACCUGAAGCUGAUGUGGCCACAGCUGAUGCUGGUGCAUGGAAGACCGAGACACUCACAGUCACAGGGAUCAGUGGAGCGCAGCAACAGAGUGGUGCAGGAGAAGCUGAGGUGCUGGCUGCCAGAAAACCCUGGCUGCAAAUGGCCUGAGGGCCUCCGAUUUGUUCAG